rnacentral:lncRNA from 1 species
UGAAAAAUUGAGCUGGCUCAGUACUUAGUUGACCUAAUGAAAUACUGAAGAAAAAUUGAGCUGAUCCAGUAUUUAGUCGAUCCAGUGAAAAACUUAGUUGGCUUAGUGACCCAUUACAUCUAGUUUUUUAUUUUACAGCUUUUUGUCCUCAUUAUCUUAUAACGACUACUUCGGCCCCUUCAAUGGCUAGAACGCUUCCUCCAGCCUCUG